rnacentral:tRNA from 1 species
GCCCCCGUAGCUCAGCGGAAAGAGCGCGGCGUUCCGAGCGCCGAGGCCGCUGGUUCGAUUCCAGCCGGGGGCA